UACGUAGGGUGCAGGCGUUAAUCGGAAUUACUGGGCGUAAAGCGUGCGCAGGCGGUUUCUUAAGUCGGAUGUGAAAGCCCCGGGCUUAACCUGGGAACUGCGUUUGAAACUGGGAGACUUGAGUGUGGCAGAGGGGGGUAGAAUUCCACGUGUAGCAGUGAAAUGCGUAGAGAUGUGGAGGAACACCGAUGGCGAAGGCAGCCCCCUGGGUUAACACUGACGCUCAUGCACGAAAGCGUGGGGAGCAAACAGG
rnacentral:rRNA from 1 species